rnacentral:rRNA from 1 species
UACGGGGGGAGCAAGCGUUGUUCGGAUUUACUGGCGUAAAGGGCGCGUAGGCGGUCAGCACAAGUCAAUUGUGAAAUCUCCGAGCUUAACUCGGAAAGGUCAACUGAAACUGUGCGACUAGAGUGCGGAAGGGGCAACUGGAAUUCUUGGUGUAGCGGUGAAAUGCGUAGAUAUCAAGAGGAACACCUGCGGCGAAGGCGGGUUGCUGGGCCGACACUGACGCUGAAGCGCGAAAGCCAGGGGAGCGAACGGG